AAGUCGUAACAAGGUUUCCGUAGGUGAACCUGCGGAAGGAUCAUUACACUCAGUAGAUUCUUCUACUGCUCGGGGAGAGGGGAAAGUCUCUCUGGUCUGCUUCGGCGGCUGGCGAACGAGUACGCUCUCUUUUCGAACCCUUGUCUUUUUGCGUACUUCAUGUUUCCUCGGCGGGCCUGCCCGCCGGUUGGACAACUCAAUAACCUAUUUUAAUUUUCAAUCAGCGUCUGAAUAAAUUAUAAUAAUUACAACUUUCAACAACGGAUCUCUUGGUUCUG
rnacentral:misc_RNA from 1 species